GAGUCGGUCGCUAAUCAUUGUUAUUGGGCUUGAAGAUGAGCCCAUGUAAAAAAUGCUUCUUUCAGCGAGACAUGAUUUUCUGAGCAAUCCCCGAAGCUAACUCCGAACCUCAAACUGUUUUCUUCACCGCCUACAAAAAAGUUGGUUGGUUAUUAAGCAUCCCUGGUUCACGCCUUUUUGGCGGUUGUUGGUAGUUUAGUAUCGAUUUAUGAUCGAACCCGGUCCGACCAGCGUGUAUGGAAAAAUUGAGUGGUUUAAUUUGCCAAUUAUCUAGAAGAACCUCGCUAAACCCCUCCCUCCAACUUUCUCGGCAUCCUCCGGCGGAAGAAGAUUCUCCGGUACACUCAUAUGUUUAUGCAAGAGUUUGAGUUAGGCUUUCCAGUAGAAUAGCUAUAGUUUCAGAUCCGAAUUGGGUUUAAAAUUUCGAACUUUAAUUACUGUUUCUGCUCUUACUUACUGAUUCUAUCUUUGAAGUUGUAAGAUGAGAACUUUCUUUUCACUGAUUAGGAAUCAUCUGGUUGAAGAGUGAGUUAGGUGUGUGUGAGUUUGUCAUUGUCUGGUUUGAGAAACUUUGUUAAUCGUCAUGGAAGAUAUGUUAGUCCAUUUUUCUUUUUUGGUAGUUAGGGGACUUGAAUCUUGAAGAUAUGCUCAAUGCUGCAUCACCUGGUAUUGACGAAAUAGUGACAUAAAUAUUCUUUUUCUUCACUACUGAGUUUGUCAGUGUAACCAUCCCAACGGUCAUGGCAAUAAACGAGUCUUUGGGAUUACAUGCAUCUUUAAGAAAAGAAAAUGUGGCCAGUUCACAGGCUUGUUGUUAAUCAUCUUCUCCCUCGUUCUGAAUCCGACUGCAAAUUUUGCUCAGUGAGACGAAAGGUAGCUCUAAUUUCAGGUAAUGCUUUUAUGGAUAGCCGCGGGUUUGGUGUGCGAUUCUUGUGAGUUCAGUUGCGUUUGCUUUGGUGCAUUUUAAUGAUGUUUUGGUGUUCCUUGGAGUGGUUUUGGGUUUGAUAUUCGCAAGGUCAAGGAACUUGUUACCUUCGAUGUUGUUGCAUAGCUUGUGGAAUGGCUUUGUGUUCAUGGAACUAAUGCGAUGGAGAUAUCUUCUGUAGGUGUCUGUUUUUUACCUUCUUAUUCUUGUAAUUGAUUCAUGUUAUGAUUUGUAGUAUUCUUUUAAUUAAAUGGACAGUUCAGUUGUAAAAAGAAAAGAAAAAUGUCAAAAAGAAGAAAAGGAAAUGAGAAAUUUUCAAAAAAAAAAAGAAAGAAGUUUAGCACUUUUAAAUCAAAUAGAAAAAGAAAGACCAUACUGAAAUAUUAAUCUAUACAGCAAAAAGUUUUGGUACAAAAAGAAAAAGAUUAAACUGGUUAUACUUUGAUUUCGUCUUUUUGAUCUUUGUAAACGAUUGGAUUAAGCUUCCAUCUUGAUAGAUAUGAAGCAUAUCAUAUGAAAAUGACAUUCACAUAAUAUAUAUAUCUAUAUAGGCAAGAUGUGAAUAAGUAAAAAAGAAAAACAUGAAGUGCAUGUCUUGUAGCUUCUAAGUCUUAUCAUUAUCUCAGUUUAAGGUGGUGAUAUCAGUUAUCCGCCCCUUGAGCUCGAUUAAGGCCAACUAAUCCUUCUUCAACUUAUAAAUCCAUUACUAAUACUGACAAAAAAAAUCCAUUAGUUAUAACUCUUUUUACUUUUUUUUUUAAUUCCACUUAUCGCGAAAGGUUUGGAUUUUUAAACAACUUUCCCAAAUCUUUUCUUCCUCUUUUCUAUGUAUAAUAUCCAAGUAUAGUAUACAUGCCAUACUUAGCGAAGAGUUUAUAUCUAUUAAUAUUAGCCUUACACAUGUUCAUGGAGCUUAUAUUAUUCUAUAUAGAACACUUUGUUUAAUCCCUAGUUAUAACUUUUUGUUUUGUAAUAAAAUAUUUAAAUAACUUGGUCUUACCGGCUGCCCUCGAGUUGCAAACUUAGUUUUGAUUAAUAUAUAACACACUACGGUAGAAGUUUACUUUUGGCUGCGUAUCUUUUUGCUUAUUUGCAUAUCUCCGCAAAGACUAAUGCAAGAAAUGAAUUCAACGUAAGUCCAUAUUAAAAAUAUAGCUUAGAUAGACUCGGACCAAACAUCGACCUCCUCGGGAUAGCGGGGAAUGUAUAAUUUGGCCAGCCGAAGCCAUCGCCGUCAAAUCAGACACAUUAAUUUGGUCAACAAAUUCGGGGAUCAAC